AGAGUUUGAUCAUGGCUCAGGAUGAACGCUAGCUACAGGCUUAACACAUGCAAGUCGAGGGGCAGCAUUUUAGUUUGCUUGCAAACUAAAGAUGGCGACCGGCGCACGGGUGAGUAACACGUAUCCAACCUGCCGAUAACUCGGGGAUAGCCUUUCGAAAGAAAGAUUAAUAUCCGAUGGUAUAUUUUCUCCGCAUGGUGAGAAUAUUAAAGAAUUUCGGUUAUCGAUGGGGAUGCGUUCCAUUAGUUUGUUGGCGGGGUAACGGCCACCAAGACCACGAUGGAUAGGGGUUCUGAGAGGAAGGUCCCCCACAUUGGAACUGAGACACGGUCCAAACUCCUACGGGAGGCA
rnacentral:rRNA from 1 species